GGCAAACCUAUAUCUAAAAAAGUGGAUUCUGUUGUUUUUUCUUGUGCUGCUUCUGUUCUCGAUUUCAUACUUAUGGUGAGUAUAGGUGAAUCUGAAGGCUUUCUCAUUUGUUUAGCUGAUUUUCCUCCAAGUAGUGCAGCAGAAUUGGUUUGACCAAUUAUCACUGCUUUUUGGAAAGAUCCCAAAUGUAAGUAAAUACUGCCGUCACCACAUCUUCAUCAAAAUAACAUUGUAAAAAAUGACCAGGUUAUUUAACAGAAGGUAAGUGGGAUUGUGCUUUUGAGAAGCAAUGCAAUACAACAUGUAACAGUACAAAAUAAUUUUUUUUUAAAAACAGCCAAAAUGCGUUUCGCCAAC